CUCUCAUCCCCACAAAAACAAAUCCCAUCAGCAUUGACAGUAAAAUAAAAGGGAUGUCAAUCUGGACACACUGGGACGUUGCGCACGGUGAUAUUGCGGCACCCUGGCCAAGAUUUACAGUAAAUGGGAAAACUUAAAAAAGGACAUUUUGUAUAAAUGAAUAAACCUAGUUUUACAGCUAGCUGCAUAUUUCAUUUGUAUGCAAGUUGCAUUAAAUCUCAUUAAA
rnacentral:lncRNA from 1 species